rnacentral:lncRNA from 1 species
GGUGGCCUAGCUGUCCGUACUCCCCAAACGCAACCUUCCAGUCCCAAACCCAGGCGUUCUAAGCGCUCAGGACGACGAUUUGCGCUCACGCCAGGACCCUAGUCUUCAUUGGACCCUUCCUCAUUCUGUCCUCAUUGAGGCCAUCUGAGAAUAGGGGCUAUCUGAGAAUGCAGGGGAGUGGACAUCGUGUGCAGACAGGGAGUCUGAUUGUGAGUGCCACGGGGCUGAGGCCUGCGCCGACCUGGUCUGCUGGUGCUACCAGGCUUGAACAGUCUUCAAAUCCACUGCUAUUAGGCAAAUUACCUGGCUCCCGCUGAACUCCAGCACCUAGAACUAUGUCACACUCGUAGUAGGCCGCUGCAUUGGUUGAACAAAUGAUUUUGAAAGAAUGAAUGUCUUCCUCUGUGCCUGCAUUUCCUCAGAAGGCUGUA